rnacentral:lncRNA from 1 species
CUCCCAACAGUCUAUGAAGCAGCUUAGAAGUGAUGGAUCCUUUGAGCCAGGGGUUUCUUCCUGCUCCGGGCUCAUCUCAUAGCUUGGCGCACUGCAAUACCCAUUGGGAUCAAGGGCACUCAACUCCCAUUCAAAAGUCUUCCUUCGUUGCACCAACUCUAAGCUCCUGGAAGUCUCUUCCUUCUCUGAACUCAACAGCAUGGUGACUGGGUGUUGUCCGAUUUCUCUGCAUGUCCCCCUUGUGUGGCAAAACACUCGGUACAUAGGAAGGACCCAACCACUGUGGGCUGGAAGAGCACAUUCGGACCUGAAGAGCUGGAUUCUGAUAUCAGAAAAGACUUCUGUGUCUGUUGCUGCCAUGCCUUCCCAUGCACCUCCAUUUGACUCAAACAGCUUUUAUAGGAAGAGGUGAGGAGACCAAGUGGAUGGACCUUGACAAGAGAACGGGGCUGUCUUGCUCCCAUGACCUCCCACCCAUAAGAACAAUCCUGGGCAGAGCAGCUCAUGGCCAAGAGCAGAGCAGGACUGCAGGAGCCCCCUGCUACUCCAAACCAGGCCCAUUCUGCUCAAGGAGGUGCUGCAAGUGCAUCCAAUCUGAGCUAGGCAGAUCAGUUCCCUCCUAGGGAAAGGCUCUGGGCAGCUGAGCAGGGCAGCUUGCUGUGCAAUGGCAGGGGGCUGUCAUUACAAGGCGCAGACAGGAUAUAAAUACAUGUUUCCUGGAGGAAAUGCUUAAUUGAAUUCCAGGGUGUCUCCUGAGCAUCAAAGGCAGUGCAAGCUCAGAGGUAACUGAGCAGUGGAGGAAUGGCCCCUCUGAACAGCUGGAGCCAGGAGGGGAUCAGGAUGUGCAGGGCUCAGACAUGAACACCAGUGUCCAGAGAGUACUAUGGGUCUCGCUGAAACUAGGAGAAGAGAGGAGGAAGGGAUAGAAAGUGAAGAAUGGUGAGCCCUUCUUGAUCCUUACGCCUGAGAGACACAAUCCAAUCCCAGGUCUCUCUGGGCUUGACGCAGCGUAGAGGUGAUACAAGCAGAGUGUGUGCCAGGAGUUCACUCAUAACCCAUCACUGAUUCAUUCAGCAGACAUUACGUCCCUGCGGCACCUUGCUAGACAAGAGGGUUGAAACGGGUGCUAUGCUGCUCUGAGGAUGUGGUCUGCAUGAGGACUACUUACUCCUGAGACCAACCUCUAUUUAGAUCUGUGUGUGUUCCGUAAGUCAAAUUAUGUGUGUGCUCCAAUGAGUCAUUUCUUCCUACUAAGUCCUUCAGAAUGGACCAGCGGAGAGGUAUGCAAGUCCCCAUUAAUGACCUCAAACCAAAUCCCUGACAGAAAGCAGGAAAGAGGUUUGCCUCUGUGUGGCCACAGUCCUUGGUGGUCCCCUCUUCCAAAGCCACGGUCACACAUACUCAUCUUCAUCGUCAGAAAGGACGAGCUCCCCAAAUGUCUGCUGAGUGUGCUCUGAAGGGUUGACACCCACCUCCUGGCUUCCAUCCGUCGGUAGCCUAAUAUUUUUCAAAGCAUUUUACAUAGUUAGUUCCUUUUAUAGCCAGCUCUUGGCUGUAUUCAUUCUACUCUCUCCUCAGUUCCAAAAAUAGACAGCAUGUGUUCAUCCAACUGUCCACAAAGGUUAAUAAAGAUGUUGUUUCCCUCUAAUUUGGUUAGUUAUAUUAACUUGUGAUAUUAACAUUAGUUUUCUCUUGCUGUAUUGUAUAAGAAAAAUAGAAAUCAUUUAUCAGCUAACAGGCUCUUAAAAUAUAGAUUCCAGGAGGAGUGGCAGGCAGAACCUGGGAUAGGAGAGGUUUGGGAAGCACUGGUCUAGUUUAUGAAACAGACUAGGUUAGGAGGGAUUCUGAAAGAUUCUAGUCCGAUAAGAAGAUCACCUGCUUCAUGUAUACAG